GCUUUGUAUUAAAAACAGUGGCUCAGUUAGUAGAGCAUGAAACUUUUAAUUUCAGAGUCGUGGGUUUGAGCCCCACAUUGGGCA